GUGGAGCGGAGUAGCUUGCGAGAGCUGCUGCUGCUGGGGACGUUCCCUGAAUCUGCCUGCCUGCCGUUUGCCCACCACACUGCCCUCUGGCUGCAUUUUAUUCUUCUGUUCUGCAUUAACAAAGUUGAGGCCUUGCAUUCAGAGCCGGCCAUGGCAGAAUCCCUGGCUUGAAUUAAGACCAGACAGGGCCCUGCAGUAAACUGAACACUCCCCACAGCUACACAGAAACAGAAAAUAAAUUUUAUUCCGAA